rnacentral:rRNA from 1 species
AAUCAACGCUGGCGGCGUGCCUAACACAUGCAAGUCGAGCGAGAGGGAGUAGCAAUACUCUAGUAAAGCGGCGCACGGGUGAGUAACACGUGGGUAAUCUGCCUCGAAGUGGGGAAUAACACCGGGAAACCGGUGCUAAUACCGCAUAAUCUGACGGGAUCUGCGGAUUUUGUCAGCAAAGGAGCAAUUCGCUUUGAGAGGAGCCCGCGGCUGAUUAGCUAGUUGGUGAGGUAAUGGCUCACCAAGGCCACGAUCAGUAGCCGGUCUGAGAGGACGGUCGGCCACACUGGAACUGAGACACGGUCCAGACUCCUACGGGAGGCAGCAGUGGGGAAUUUUUCGCAAUGGGGGCAACCCCGACGAAGCAACGCCGCGUGGAUGAUGAAGUCUCUUGGGACGUAAAAUCCUUUCGACGGGGACGAAACCGCAAGGUUGACGGUACCCGUAGAAGAAGCCCCGGCUAACUCUGUGCCAGCAGCCGCCGCGGUAA